UGAAUCAUAGGCGUGCACCUCCCUGUGGCAAUAAAGCAUUGUUAACCCCAUGGUGUCUCCGGCUGAAGUCUGUCUGGCGGUAUGGCAACCCCUUGUGCAUUUUUUCGUUUGGGCCGCUCACCUCCUAGAACUCCACGUCAGCCUCCCUUGGCUGACACUUUGCACUGUGAGCAGGAUGAGAUUUGGAAACCAGUGCCACAGCGCUGCGAGAAGCCCUGGCGGGCGGGGGAUGGACCACGAACAAGGACAAAGUGCAAGGACCUGGAUAUUCUGUCAGAUUCUCAGGUGCUGUCUGGUCGGGGUAACAGCAAAUACCAUGUUCUCCUGGGCACACACAUUCACGCGAGUCCACAACGUCUCUCACUGUUGGGUCUAUACUGAACUUCCCAUAGACGCAGGAGAUGGACUGCCAUGGCACCUCCACCCCGUGUCCAGAGUUAAUUGGAACACCUUGAUUCAAUGGAAUGCCAACAGGACAGCAAAAUCACCCUGGGACUUGCGGCGGCAGACUAUUGAAGAGAUACUCCGAUGUGAGCGGGGCAUUGCCUCCCCCCCAAUUGAAAGGACUGUAUGGAAUGGGUGGGGAUGGAUGAAUAGUGUUUAUGUAAAAAUGAGAAAUUUAAGCCCUCUCUGUAUUGAGCAGCAGUUUGAACACAAGGCUCCAAACCGCACAGUGGGGUGGCUCCCAGAAGAACUAUGUGCCAAAAUUAUUUAUAAUGUAAAUGCCUCCACCUGGUGGGAUG